rnacentral:rRNA from 1 species
UACGUAGGCAGCGAGCGUUGUUCGGAUUUAUUGGGCGUAAAGAGCGUGUAGGCGGUCAGGUAAGUCCGUUGUGAAAACUCGAGGCUCAACCUCGAGACGCCGAUGGAAACCAUCUGACUAGAGUCCGGAAGAGGAGAGUGGAAUCCUGGUGUAGCGGUGAAAUGCGCAGAUAUCAGGAGGAACACCGAUGGCGAAGGCAGGUCUCUGGGCCAUUACUGACACUGAGAAGCGAAAGCAUGGG